rnacentral:rRNA from 1 species
AUUGAACGCUAGCGGGAUGCUUUACACAUGCAAGUCGAACGGAGUGGCGGACGGGUGAGUAAUAUAUCGGAACGUGCCUAGUAGCGGGGGAUAACUACUCGAAAGAGUGGCUAAUACCGCAUACCAUCGGAGCGGCCGAUAUGGGAUUAGCUAGUUGGUGGGGUAAAGGCUCACCAAGGCAACGAUCCCUAGCUGGUUUGAGAGGACGACCAGCCACACUGGGACUGAGACACGGCCCAGACUCCUACGGGAGGCAGCAGUGGGGAAUUUUGGACAAUGGGGGAAACCCUGACCCAGCCAUGCCGCGUGUAUGAAGAAGGCCUUCGGGUUGUAAAGUUCUUUUGGCAGAGAAGCGGUAUCUGCAGAAUAAGCACCGGCUAACUACGUGCCAGCAGCCGCGGUAAUAC